CCUCAGUAACGGCGAGUGAAGCGGUAACAGCUCAAAUUUGAAAUCUGGGUCUUUCAGGCUCCGAGUUGUAAUUUGUAGAAGAUGCUUUGGGUGCGGCCCCGGUCUAAGUUCCUUGGAACAGGACGUCAUAGAGGGUGAGAAUCCCGUAUGUGAUCGGUGGCUUGCGCCCGUGUAAAGCUCUUUCGACGAGUCGGGUUGUUUGGGAAUGCAGCUCUAAAUGGGUGGUAAAUUUCAUCUAAAGCUAAAUAUUGGCCAGAGACCGAUAGCGCACAAGUAGAGUGAUCGAAAGAUGAAAAGCACUUUGGAAAGAGAGUUAAACAGUACGUGAAAUUGUUGAAAGGGAAGCGCUUGCAACCAGACUUGCGCGGGGUUGAUCAUCCGGGGUUCUCCCCGGUGCACUCGGCCUCGCUCAGGCCAGCAUCGGUUUCGGUGGUUGGAUAAAGGCCUUGGGAAUGUGACUCCUCUCGGGGAGUGUUAUAGCCCUCGGUGCAAUGCAGCCUACCGGGACCGAGGACCGCGCUUCGGCUAGGAUGCUGGCGUAAUGGUUGUAAGCGACCCGUCUUGAAACACGGACCAAGGAGUCUAACAUCUAUGCGAGUGUUUGGGUGUCAAACCCAUACGCGUAAUGAAAGUGAACGGAGGUGAGAACCCUUAAGGGUGCAUCAUCGACCGAUCCUGAUGUCUUCGGAUGGAUUUGAGUAAGAGCAUAGCUGUUGGGACCCGAAAGAUGGUGAACUAUGCCUGAAUAGGGUGAAGCCAGAGGAAACUCUGGUGGAGGCUCGCAGCGGUUCUGACGUGCAAAUCGAUCGUCAAAUUUGGGUAUAGGGGC
rnacentral:rRNA from 1 species